GAUGAACGCUGGCGGCGUGCCUAAUACAUGCAAGUCGAGCGAACAGACCAGGAGCUUGCUCCUCUGACGUUAGCGGCGGACGGGAUAGUACCACGUGGAUAACCUACCUAUAAGACUGGGAUAACAUCAGGAAACCGGAGCUAAUACCGGAUAAUAUAUUGAACAGCAUGGAUCAAUAGUGAAAGUAGGUAUUGCUUUCACUUAUGGCUCGAUACGCGCCGCAUUAGUUAGUUGGUAAGGUAACGGCUUACCCAGACGACGAUGCGUAGCCGACCUGAGAGGAUGAUCCGCAGCAGGGGAGCUGGGACGCGGACCAGACCCCGAAGUGAGACAGCAGUAGGGAAUCUACGGCAGUGAGCGGUAGCCAGACUGAGAAACGGCGCGUGAGUGAGAAAGGGCAUCGCAGCGUAAAACACUGUUAUUAGAGAAUAGCAAAUGUGUAAGUAACGAUGCAAGUCUGAACGGUACCGAAGCAGAAGGCCACGGCAAACUACGG
rnacentral:rRNA from 1 species